rnacentral:rRNA from 1 species
UAAGGAAUAUUGGUCAAUGGACGCAAGUCUGAACCAGCCAUGCCGCGUGGAGGAUUAAGGCCCUCUGGGUUGUAAACUCCUUUUAUCUGGGAAGAAAUGUACUUUUUCUUGAGUACUUGACGGUACCAGAGGAAUAAGCACCGGCUAACUCCGUGCCAGCAGCCGCGGUAAUACGGAGGGUGCAAGCGUUAUCCGGAUUCACUGGGUUUAAAGGGUGCGUAGGUGGGCAGGUAAGUCAGUGGUGAAAUCUCCGGGCUUAACCCGGAAACUGCCGUUNAUACUAUUUGUCUUGAAUAUUGUGGAGUUAAGCGGAAUAUGUCAUGUAGCGGUGAAAUGCUUAGAUAUGACAUAGAACACCAAUUGCGAAGGCAGCUUACUACACAAUCAUUGACGCGGAGGCACGAAAGCGUGGGGAU